rnacentral:rRNA from 1 species
AUACGGAGGAUCCGAGCGUUAUCCGGAUUUAUUGGGUUUAAAGGGUGCGCAGGCGGCCCUUUAAGUCAGCGGUUAAAUCGUGGGGCUCAACCCCAUUCUGCCGUUGAUACUGGGUGGCUUGAUUGCGGUCGAGGUUGGCGGAAUUCGUUGUGUAGCGGUGAAAUGCGUAGAUAUGACGAAGAACACCGUUUGCAUAGACAUCAGACCAGACCGCAAAUGACGCUCAUGCACGAAAGUGCGGGGAUCGAACAGGAUUAGAUACCCUGGUAGUCCGCACAGUAAACGAUUAAUGCUUGUUUUCGGCGAUAUAAUGUCGGAGGCUAAGCGAAAGCAAUAAGUGAUCCACCUGGGGAGUACGCCGGCAACGGUGAAACUCAAAGGAAUUGACGUGG